UUGAGCUCGCGUCACUUCCGGGAGGAAGCGUAGUCCUCCGGCCCGGGCUCGGGGAAGGUUUACGACCCUCACGGCCCGGCUUCUGCAACUUUCCACCUACUAAGCGAUUUCUGGACCGGACGGUGGCGAGUGCUUCGUGUUUACCCUCAUGAUGCAGCCCUGUCCUCAUGCAGUUUACAGUCUGGUGGAAGGAUGUGGUCAGUCUGCAAUCAUUGAUUCGUUUGAAGGAAGUAAACCGGUAUUAAUGUCAUCACUGUGCCAGGCAACUCUGGCUAACUUCAAUGGAAAAGGAAUUUUGGGGUGGAAUAUCAAGGUAAACACAGUACUUACAGGAAGGCUGGAAGACCAGGCUCAGGGAAAGAACCAGAAACCAGGAAGACCAACAGGAAGCCCAGGUCCACAAGCCCUGUCUGGUUAUGAAUCACCACUGUUUACAUAGUGGUGCCAGGGAACAUAUAAAGCGCAGUGGUUGAGAAUCUGCCUGCCAAUGCAGAGGAUGAGGUUUCGAUCCCUGGUCCCGGAAGAUCCCACAUGCUGUGGAGCAACUAAGCCCAUGCACCACAACUACCAAGCCUGUGCUCUAGAGCCUGCGAGCCACAACUACUGAGCCUGCACACCACAACUACUGAAGCCCGUAGAGCCCAUGCUCCACAACAAGAGAAGCCACCGCAAUGAAAAGCCCGUGCACUGCAAUGAAGAGAAGCCCCUGCUUGCUGCAACUAGAGAAAGCCUGUGUGCAGCAACGAAAACCCAACGCAGCCAAAAAUAAAAAUAAAUAAAAUAAAAUAAA